GAACCGCGUGAAGGAUCAUUACUGAGAGGGGUUUUCGGACCCCGGGGGCCCCGGCCCCCAUCUCUUCACCCUAUGUUUACGUACCUUCGUUGCUUUGGCGGGUCUUGGGGCUCGCCCCUACCGGCUACCGGCUACGGGCCUAGUGCCCCGGUCGGUCCGUGCCCGCCAGAGGCCCAUCAAAUUCUGUUCAUCAGUGACAGUCCGAGCAAAAACACAAUAGUAAAAACUUUCAACAACGGAUCUCUUGGUUCUGGCAUCGAUGAAGAACGCAGCGAAAUGCGAUAAGUAAUGUGAAUUGCAGAAUUCAGUGAAUCAUCGAAUCUUUGAACGCACAUUGCGCCCCUCGGUAUUCCGGGGGGCAUGCCUGUUCGAGCGUCAUUGCACCCCUCAAGCUCAGCUUGGUAUUGGGUCUUCGCCUCCUCGGCGGGCCCGAAAGUCAGUGGCGGUCCGGGGCGACUUCGAGCGUAGUAAAUCUUCUCCCGCUUUGGAAGCUCGCGCCGCGGCCGGCCAUCAACGCCCAAAUCUUUCAAUGAUUGACCUCGGAUCAGGUAGGGAUACCCGCUGAACUUAA
rnacentral:rRNA from 1 species